rnacentral:rRNA from 1 species
UACGUAGGGUGCGAGCGUUGUCCGGAAUUACUGGGCGUAAAGAGCUCGUAGGUGGUUUGUCGCGUUGUUCGUGAAAACCGGGGGCUUAACCCUCGGCGUGCGGGCGAUACGGGCAGACUGGAGUACUGCAGGGGAGACUGGAAUUCCUGGUGUAGCGGUGGAAUGCGCAGAUAUCAGGAGGAACACCGGUGGCGAAGGCGGUUCUCUGGGCAUGUUCUGACGCUGAGGAGCGAAAGUGUGGGGAGCGAACAGG